CCGAGCGAGGGCCUCCGGCCCGACCUCCAACCCGAUGUUGACCCACACCUGUUGCCUCGGGGGCGACCCGGACGCCGACGCGCCGGGCACCCCGACGGACCAACUUAACGCUGUCUCUGUACGUCGGAGUUGAUUAGCGAAUCAAUCA
rnacentral:misc_RNA from 1 species